rnacentral:piRNA from 1 species
UGAUUCCUAAAAAUAAAAUUA